rnacentral:rRNA from 1 species
AUGGCUCAGAUUGAACGCUGGCGGCAGGCCUAACACAUGCAAGUCGAGCGGUAACAGGAGAAAGCUUGCUUUCUUGCUGACGAGCGGCGGACGGGUGAGUAAUGUAUGGGGAUCUGCCCGAUAGAGGGGGAUAACUACUGGAAACGGUGGCUAAUACCGCAUAAUGUCUACGGACCAAAGCAGGGGCUCUUCGGACCUUGCACUAUCGGAUGAACCCAUAUGGGAUUAGCUAGUAGGUGGGGUAAAGGCUCACCUAGGCGACGAUCUCUAGCUGGUCUGAGAGGAUGAUCAGCCACACUGGGACUGAGACACGGCCCAGACUCUACGGGAGGCAGCAGUGGGGAAUAUUGCACAAUGGGCGCAAGCCUGAUGCAGCCAUGCCGCGUGUAUGAAGAAGGCCUUAGGGUUGUAAAGUACUUUCAGCGGGGAGGAAGGUGAUAAGGUUAAUACCCUUGUCAAUUGACGUUACCCGCAGAAGAAGCACCGGCUAACUCCGUGCCAGCAGCCGCGGUAAUACGGAGGGUGCAGGCGUUAAUCGGAAUUACUGGGCGUAAAGCGCACGCAGGCGGUCAAUUAAGUCAGAUGUGAAAGCCCCGAGCUUAACUUGGGAAUUGCAUCUGAAACUGGUUGGCUAGAGUCUUGUAGAGGGGGGUAGAAUUCCAUGUGUAGCGGUGAAAUGCGUAGAGAUGUGGAGGAAUACCGGUGGCGAAGGCGGCCCCCUGGACAAAGACUGACGCUCAGGUGCGAAAGCGUGGGGAGCAAACAGGAUUAGAUACCCUGGUAGUCCACGCUGUAAACGAUGUCGAUUUAGAGGUUGUGGUCUUGAACCGUGGCUUCUGGAGCUAACGCGUUAAAUCGACCGCCUGGGGAGUACGGCCGCAAGGUUAAAACUCAAAUGAAUUGACGGGGGCCCGCACAAGCGGUGGAGCAUGUGGUUUAAUUCGAUGCAAUGCGAAGAACCUUACCUACUCUUGACAUCCAGCGAAUCCUUUAGAGAUAGAGGAGUGCCUUCGGGAACGCUGAGACAGGUGCUGCAUGGCUGUCGUCAGCUCGUGUUGUG